rnacentral:rRNA from 1 species
CACGUAGGGCGCGAGCGUUGUCCGGAAUUAUUGGGCGUAAAGAGCUCGUAGGCGGCCUGUUGCGUCCGCUGUGAAAGCCCGGGGCUUAACCCCGGGUCGGCAGUGGAUACGGGCAGGCUAGAGGUAGGUAGGGGAGAAUGGAACUCCUGGUGUAGCGGUGGAAUGCGCAGAUAUCAGGAAGAACACCGAUGGCGAAGGCAGUUCUCUGGGCCGUAACUGACGCUGAGGAGCGAAAGCGUGGGGAGCGAACAGG